rnacentral:rRNA from 1 species
CCUACGGGGGGCAGCAGUGAGGAAUAUUGGUCAAUGGCCGGAAGGCUGAACCAGCCAUGCCGCGUGAAGGUCAGUGCCCUAUGGGCGUUAAACUUCUUUUGUGCGGGAGCAAUAAUGGUCACGUGUGGCCAGACGAGAGUACCGUACGAAUAAGCAUCGGCUAACUCCGUGCCAGCAGCCGCGGUAAUACGGGGGAUGCAAGCGUUAUCCGGAUUUAUUGGGUUUAAAGGGUGCGUAGGCUGUGAGGUAAGUCAGCGGUGAAAUGCCCCCGCUCAACGGGGUGAAGUGCCAUUGAUACUGCCUGGCUGGAAUGCGGAUGCCGUGGGAGGAAUGUGUGGUGUAGCGGUGAAAUGUAUAGAUAUCACACAGAACACCGAUUGCGAAGGCAUCUCACGAAGCCGCGAUUGACGCUGAUGCACGAAAGCGUGGGUAUCAAACAGGAUUAGAUACCCUGGUAGUC